GUCCUCUGAGGUGCUGGGACGAGGAGGACUCGUGCGGGCACCUCCAGAGACAGCGGGAACGGGAGCGUGCUGCGGAGAAGGAAAAUUCCAGAAUUGCCACGAGAGGAAAUACCUCAGAGGGGCUUCCCUCCAGAUAAGCCCUGAAUAUGCCAGGAGGUUUCAGCCGGGAGAAAGGAGCUGUGGAAGAAAACCAGCC